GCCAGGUGUGGUGGUGCACGCCUGUAGUCCCAGCUACUCGGGAGGCUGAGGCAGGAGAAUCGCUUGAACCCAAGAGGCAGAGGUUGCAGUGAGCCGAGAUCGCAUCACUGCACUCCAGCCUGGGUGACAGAGCGAGAUUCUGUCUCAA
rnacentral:SRP_RNA from 1 species